rnacentral:lncRNA from 1 species
UGAGGGUCGAAACAGGUUCACCAAACCUAGAGUGAUUGCAACCUUAAUGAUAUGAGAUACUUUUGAUUUUGAAGAAGUAGCGGAUGAAUCGACUCGUGUUUUGUUGUGCUUGUCUCUACAUGCUUCAAUGUAUCAUUUUCCCUUGCCUUAUCUGUUCUUCAGGCAGAUGUGGUAUUUUCUCUAGAAGCAUAAGAUGUUGAAACAAUGGGUACUUCGAGAGCAGUGCUAGGUAAGCAAUCAGGGAAGGGUUCCAAGCAGUUGGUUCCAGAUUGGAAGAUUGAUACCAAGUGCUGUCUGAUUGUUUUCUUUCUCCUUGUCCCGUAGGUAAAAACAAGAACAAAUAAAAGAAUAGGGAGAAAGCAUCAUAUGAAAUACUCGUGCUUUCGAAGAAAUGGUGGCGAUUUGACAGCGUUGCACAACGAGGCUUUGUUCUUCGACGAUAGUGCCGCCAAUAUGUUUGUUGAAACUUCU